rnacentral:rRNA from 1 species
CCCUUAGAUGUUCUGGGCCGCACGCGCGCUACACUGACUGGUGCAACAAGUGUCGCUCCUUGGCCGAUAGGCCUGGGCAAUCUUUGAACGCCAGUCGUGAUGGGGAUAGAUUCUUGCAAUUUUCGAUCUUGAACGAGGAAUUCCUAGUAAGCGUGAUUCAUCAGAUCGCGUUGAUUACGUCCCUGCCCUUUGUACACACCGCCCGUCGCUACUACCGAUUGAAUGGUUUAGUGAGGCCUCGGGACUGGCGCGCUCGAGUAGCAAUACACCUGCGCGCCGGGAACUUGGUCAAACUUGAUCAUUUAGAGGAAGUAAAAGUCGUAACA